UCUGGAGCUGGAGCUGGAGCUGGAACUGGUUCCGGAGCUGGUGGUGGAGCAGGGGCUG
rnacentral:sRNA from 1 species